ACGGUGGAUGCCUUGGCACUAGAAGCCGAAGAAGGACGUUACUAACGACGAUAUGCUUUGGGUAGCUGUAAGUAAGCGUUGAUCCAGAGAUUUCCGAAUGGGGGAACCCAACAUGAGUUAUGUCAUGUUAUCGACAUGUGAAUUCAUAGCAUGUCAGAAGGCAGACCCGGAGAACUGAAACAUCUUAGUACCCGGAGGAAGAGAAAGAAAAAUCGAUUCCCUGAGUAGCGGCGAGCGAAACGGGAAGAGCCCAAACCAACAAGCUUGCUUGUUGGGGUUGUAGGACACUCUAUACGGAGUUACAAAAGAACAUGUUAGACGAAUCAUCUGGAAAGAUGAAUCAAAGAAGGUAAUAAUCCUGUAGUCGAAAACAUAUUCUCUCUUGAGUGGAUCCUGAGUACGACGGAGCACGUGAAAUUCCGUCGGAAUCUAGGAGGACCAUCUCCUAAGGCUAAAUACUCUCUAGUGACCGAUAGUGAACCAGUACCGUGAGGGAAAGGUGAAAAGUACCCCGGAAGGGGAGUGAAAGAGAACUUGAAACCGUGUGCUUACAAGUAGUCAGAGCCCGUUUAUGGGUGAUGGCGUGCCUUUUGUAGAAUGAACCGGCGAGUUACGAUCUGAUGCAAGGUUAAGCAGCGAAUGUGGAGCCGUAGCGAAAGCGAGUCUGAAUAGGGCGUUGAGUAUUUGGUCGUAGACCCGAAACCAGGUGAUCUACCCUUGGUCAGGUUGAAGUUCAGGUAACACUGAAUGGAG
rnacentral:rRNA from 1 species